UUUGAACUACAGGAAAUUAAAAGGCCUUAGAAGCAGACUCAGAAACAGGGACUUUCUGAUCUUCUCGUUUCUCCUCCUCACCAAGGACAGAUAGAUAGAAAGUAUAUCUAUUACAGAGAGAGCUUCUCUCUGGAAGUUCUCUAGUAUGGCUGUAGAAACUUCUUCCAAAAGAAACGCAAUUAUCUUAAAACCCCCUCCCUAGGAAUCUCAUCAAAUAAGCAAAGAAGAUUAAGCGCAGAGAAAAGACAAUGCUGUCACCAUGCCCAUGCCAAACACUUUUCAUCUAUUCUUCUGAGACUAGCUCUGAGAAGUUACCUGGGAGAUUUUACCUAUGUAAGAAGACAACCUUUGCUCACUGUGGAGUUCUGUCCCUCACUUUUCUGCAAUUUGUUGGAACAUCCUUCAGAGAUCAGAGAAGCUUUGUUCUAGGACAUUGGCUGUUCUUGGGACUCAUUCAAUCUCCCUGAAAGUCACUUACUACCCCUUAAAAUUACCUACAUUUCUCAUUUCUCUCUUCCCUAUGAAGAGAGUAUUUAAGCUUCAACCACCUUGCCCUUCUUUGAGUUUCAUAUUUUGUAUGGUUCCCGUAAACACUUACAUGUUAAUAAAUUUGUG
rnacentral:lncRNA from 1 species